AUGAAAAUAACAUACUUCCAUACAUAUAAUCCCAUUUCAAAUUUGACAUAUCAUCACAACUUCACAAGAGCAAAAGCCAGCUCGUGGUCACCACACACACACGGACACACGGGCGAUGUCAGUCACACGCUCUUCUUGUUGUUGAGGAGCUCGGCGAAGCAGGAGGCGAAAGCUUCCAUGGCGUCCGGCGGCAGCACCACGCCGACCUCGACGCCGCCCAGGCCGUCGGGGCUCUCGGCCAGGGACACCGUGCCGGGGGUCAUCUCGAUGGACACCAUGUCCACCCUGCACGGCUUCCCCCACCCGAAGUCCGUGCCCUCGUACACGCCGUGCCGCGGCGACCCGCCCACCGACAUGGGCCGCUGCGGCAGCACCGACAUCACCUGUCCCAGCCAACCCUCCGCGCCCUCCAGCACGCCCCGCUCCAUCUCCCUGAUCGCCGCCCCGAUGGCCGCAGCAGCCACCGCCACGCCGCCCGCGUCGUCGGUCGUCAUCAGGUCCGACGUCGCGGCCUCCACGAAGCACGGCCGCAGGCAGUUGCCGAAGUACUCGGCCGGGAGCGGCGGCGACAGCCUCGACCGGCACUCCGCCGAGAAUAGCAUGUGGCUGCGCGCCGCGCCUUCGACGCCCGCGGACCGGCUCCGCAGCAGGCACACCCACGCCAGCGCCGACGCCGCCACGAACGACGACAUGUGCGGUGCGCCCUGCGCCGCGGCCGCGUCCUUGAUCCCGUCGAUCUGGUCGCGCGUCAGCGCGAAGGACGCGAUCACCGGAGACGGAGGCGGAGGCCCCUGCGCUUGCGGGGGCGGAGGCGGAGGUCCGGACGCGAGGCGGCUCAUCCCGGCGAGCGUCUUGCCGAGCAGGUCGUCGGGGUCGGCGACGAGGGAGCGGUCGAGCACGGGCGGCGGCGGCGGGCGGCGGGGCUGA
rnacentral:rRNA from 1 species